UGCCUUUUAUAACUUCAAAUAAUGGUGGAGAGUAAUCUGGGCUGAAAUAGAACCGCUAGAGCACAUUAAAUGGACAUUAAAUGCAAUCAAAAUGGGUUAAAAACUAGCCGUUGCAGAAAUUUUUCAUCACAGGGGUCGACUCAUAGGGUCGACUUAUGCUCAUGGGUCGACUCAUGAGGUCGACCUCUGUGAAAAAAAGUAAAAAAUGAUUGUUCUGUAAUUUUGGCCUGCAGAGCAGCAGAGGUCGACUUAUAGGGUCGACUCAUGCUCAG
rnacentral:lncRNA from 1 species